GUAGAGAUGGCUUAAUGGUUACGAGCACUGGAUGCUCUUCCAGAGGACAUGGGUUCAGUUCCCAUCAUCCACA
rnacentral:tRNA from 1 species